CUCGUAGGUGGUUUGUCGCGUUGUUCGUGAAAACUCACAGCUUAACUGUGGGCGUGCGGGCGAUACGGGCAGACUAGAGUACUGCAGGGGAGACUGGAAUUCCUGGUGUAGCGGUGGAAUGCGCAGAUAUCAGGAGGAACACCGGUGGCGAAGGCGGGUCUCUGGGCAGUAACUGACGCUGAGGAGCGAAAGCGUGGGGAGCGAACA
rnacentral:rRNA from 1 species